UGGCCUCGCACAGGCUGCUCAACACCUCUGAGCUCAAAUUCCUGCUCCCAGGGGGAAGCGGGUUAUGAAGAUGAGAGGGAGAGAGAGCGAGCUGUAAGGGAAGCAGGUGACACGGGGCUGGACAGGGAAGGGCCUGGCUCUCAAGGAAGGGAGCUUCUCCAGGUGGCUUCCUCCUCUGUCAAAUGGGCCCACGAAUACCCUAUUGAUGCAGGAGCGGGGCGGCCUGGAUCUGUUUUCUGCCCCUGACCAGGGGGCCGCGUCUUCGGCAAAGUCUUCGGGGUGAGAGGUCCGGCUCCUGGAGGACAGCGGGAUGGGAGAGUCCCGUUCACACCCAGCCCCGCAGAGCCGGAUAGAAACGCUGCCACUGCCGACUCCAUGCUGCCGGGAAGUGCACUGUGGAGGCCACUUUCUGGAAAGAAGAAACCGUCUGAACACAAAGUUGCUCAAGCCAUGUUCAUCUAUCUGCCAGGGAAACGGAGGCCCUGAGUGCCAGAGUCCAAGUCACCCUGCAAGAGAAAACUCUGGUGGAGCCCAGGGUGUCCAGCCCCUGUCCACCCAGCCGCCGUGGUCAAGGUUAAUAAGGGCAAGGGGCCAAGCAGAACCGCCUACAAGGAACCGAGUGUCCACAAAGCAGGAAGCGAAGAACGUUUCUCCUACCUAGAGCGCAGCC
rnacentral:lncRNA from 1 species